CCUUGAUGCUCUCYAGCUGGUUCUUGGGGAGCAGUAAGGGGAGUAGUGAUUGCCUCUGCUGCAAGCAGAAAAGGAUCUGGGGAAGAACCUGCUGAGGAAGCCACUGUGUAUAGAGCAAGUCCACAAAAACAGUCUUCCUGRCCCAGUUAGAGCUUGGUGCAGGCAAUGUGCACAGAAGCAAACCCUGGAAAAGAAGGAAAGAUGUCUCAGCUGCACAUCAUGUUGGCUUAAUAUGAAUAAACCCUUCCUUAGUCAACACUAAACAAUCUGCAAAGACAAGCAAGAGUGAUUAACUUAUAUCACUAUGGAAAGAACCUCCAUGGAUUCAAGAUUUUGGGAAAGAAGAGGCAAUUUCUGCUUUGCUGGGACAUUAGUCCAUUUGGACACAGCAGGCAGACUUCCAUGUGACCAGAUUUAGUGUCUGUCCUUGCCAUUGUUGGCCCCCAAACAGCUCACGUGGUGGAAGGAGAAAAGCAUGAAUAACUGGAGAAAAAGUGUUAUGCAGAAAACAAAGAACCUCUUGACCUGGACCUUAAAAAUUAAGAAGGAAAAGACAACGUGUAAUGAUGAAAACCCUUCAGGAAGAGCCUCUGCAGGGCAGAUCAUGGGCUUGUGUGGAAGGUGCUGGGUGGAAACCCCCAUCACUUCUAGAUCACUACCAGACCUGUCUCUUCUCGCCUUCACCACUACUAGAAAAGAGGAAAUGAGAAAUGGUGUUUGGUGGUUAGACUUGGGAAAGAGAGCAGCCAAAUCCUGUUACGCAGCGGGGCUYUGAGAAAUGGAGGGUGGCAAUAACUGCCAUGCUGUCCUCUGCUCUCAAAUGAUGCUUCUGCGUAAAUAGCCAUCCUUGCAUAAGCCAAGUACCUGCUGUUAGCAUCAUUACCAGGCUCACGCACCUUUUUGGAAAGCUGUUUCCUAAUAAUCUAACCCUAAAAUCUCCUGAGACCUAAUUUUUAAUUUCCAAUAUCUAUUUUUUUACUUAUAUUUUGCUGCAGUUUAUUUCCUCACUUUGUGGCAUACACUCACCAAAUACCUUAUGAUCACAUCUCUCUUUAGUGUUAUUGUGCCCCAUGCCACAAAUUGAGCAGCCUCAGAUGAUGCACAGAGUUUUGAUGGGAGCAUCCAAGACCACAUCCAGCUGCAGAAGGCACCAGCAGCUCAUGGUAGAGCACUUCCCUCCUUGCAUUUUUGGUAUCCAAGCUGUUGGUGCCUUAGCAAGGGCUGCGAAGGUAUCGUGUUGUCUAUUCUACUACCUGAGAAAGGAAAUGUAAAAACAAAGAGCAUUAUACUCAAGAUAAUAGCAAUAAAACAAUGAAAUCCAUUGUGUUUUACCAUUAACCUGCUAAAUGCUGUUCAACGGUGCCUGGUUUUCACCCUUUCUUGAUUCUACCCCCUGUACCAUGUGCUGAUAAAGCCCUUGGAGCUGCAUUAAGAGAAAUUCUGAUGGAAGGCACCUCCUAACUGCAAAAGCAGUUAGUUAAAGCAAAAUGACCGAAAACCAUCAGCUGAUCCAUGACUCACUGAACAACAAUAUAAAGUUCAAAUGUGCCCGGGCCUUCYGCCGGUUUCACAGGCCAUAAUGUGAAAUCAGCGGCUCUGUUGCAUAGAGAAUUAUMAUUGUAGGAUACUCUAAAUAAUUGAAAUGUAAUAGCAGUUAAUGAGUGGCUUCAGUGUCACGUUAUGCACAAGGCCACAAACUCAGUGGGCUCUCUCUGGCCACUUCCUCACCAUUAAAACCCCAGAGAA